rnacentral:lncRNA from 1 species
ACUUUAACAAAUCUUGCAGCCGCACACUCUUUGGGUCCGCCCGUUUCUCUAAUCAAGUUGUAACACUCGCUGCUGUGGUCCACAGCUUCAUUCCUUGAAGCCCGUGAGACACGAACGCUUCCAUUGAGAAAAACCUUCCAUCAGAAGAAGACUUCUCGUCUCAGUGGGACUGCUGAGUUGAAUGACUUGCAUCAUUUAUAUUUUUAAUUCAUCGAGGAUGAGAAAAUUGAUUAACACAAAAUCUUUUCAUGUCUUUUCUGAUGAGAGACUAGCUGAAUCCAAGAAGAGAAGCCCUUGAAGAGUGUAUUCUAUUCUAGACAAGCAUUCACACAUUGGCUUCUUUGGUGCCAGAUUAAAGAAUGAAGAAAGGAUCAAAUUGAGACAUCCAGGGGGGAAGAGUUCCCUGGCAAAACUCCAAUCUGCCUGAGCACUGAGGUGGAGCCACAGAAGUCCGGGUCAUUUGCACCUGGGAGGAGCCUGGCCCCUCCUCUUCCUGUGUGGAAUCUGGGAUUUAAUCUGUGAGGAGGGAAGGCCAAGGGCAGGAAGCACAGGCUCUCACUUCACUAAGAGUCUCUGUUUCCCCUUUUUUUCCUUUAUGCCUAAUUAAUAAAUCCCAUUUUUCUCACUCUUCAAAUAGUCUUCAAGCCUAAAUUUUCAUGACCAUGGAACAAGGACCCCAUCUUUAGCUGAACUAAGGAAAAGUCCUGCAACAAAAUUCUUUGCUAAAAAUACAUGAGGUUGCCUUUUCCUUCUUAAUCUUAAAAGAAAUAUAUUUCAAUGGUUAACGUUUUAGUAAUUCAAAAAUUAUCAAGCAUUUGUUCACAACCAUAAGAUGUGCAUUGUUUUAUAUUCCUACUUAAUAAUAGACUAUAAUUGUCUAAUUAGACUGCCGAUGUUGAUCUUUGUGGCUCAUUGCAUUGAUUAUAAGCAGUGUUUUGGGUUUGUGUGUGUGUGUCAAAUUUAGGGUUUUUUUGGUAUGGCUGCUGGUUGGUGUAGCCUGUAUCCAGUAUCCUGUAUUAAUUCUAAUAUUUGCAUUUUGAACAUAUUUACAAGUUGCUAAAAUAGCAAAGCUUCGAGAUGAGCCUGGCUGAUAUGGCAAAACCCCGUCUCUACUAAAAAUACAAAAAUUAGCCUGGUGUGGUGGUGCAUGCCUGUAAUCCCAGCUACUUGGAAGUCUGAGGCAGGAGAAUCUCUUGAACCCAGAAGGUGGAGGUUGCAGUGGGCCAAGAUCGCACCACUGCACUCCAGCCUCGGUGAUAGAGCGAGACUACGUCUC